CCUACGGGGGGCUGCAGUGGGGAAUAUUGGACAAUGGGCGAAAGCCUGAUCCAGCCAUGCCGCGUGUGUGAAGAAGGCCUUCGGGUUGUAAAGCACUUUCAGUGGGGAAGAAAGCCUUGGGGCUAAUACCCUCGAGGAAGGACAUCACCCACAGAAGAAGCACCGGCUAACUCCGUGCCAGCAGCCGCGGUAAUACGGAGGGUGCGAGCGUUAAUCGGAAUUACUGGGCGUAAAGCGCGCGUAGGCGGUCUGAUAAGCCGGUUGUGAAAGCCCCGGGCUCAACCUGGGAACGGCAUCCGGAACUGUCAGGCUAGAGUGCAGGAGAGGAAGGUAGAAUUCCCGGUGUAGCGGUGAAAUGCGUAGAGAUCGGGAGGAAUACCAGUGGCGAAGGCGGCCUUCUGGACUGAAACUGACGCUGAGGUGCGAAAGCGUGGGUAGCAAACAGGAUUAGAUACCCUGGUAGUC
rnacentral:rRNA from 1 species